rnacentral:rRNA from 1 species
UACGAAGGGGGCUAGCGUUGCUCGGAAUCACUGGGCGUAAAGCGCACGUAGGCGGACUCUUAAGUCGGUGGUGAAAUCCUGGAGCUCAACUCCAGAACUGCCUUCGAUACUGGCGAUCUCGAGUCCGGGAGAGGUGAGUGGAACUGCGAGUGUAGAGGUGAAAUUCGUAGAUAUUCGCAAGAACACCAGUGGCGAAGGCGGCUCACUGGCCCGGUACUGACGCUGAGGUGCGAAAGCGUGGGGAGCAAACAGG